ACUCCGGGAGGGUCUGCGGCUUCGGGACUUCCCGCCCUUCUGUCCCCUCGAGAGGGAUCUCUGCCCAGAAGGCUCUGCAGCUGUGGGGCUCUUGUUACUACUAAGAUGUGAAGUGAAGAGCCAGUUGUGCCCUUGGAACCUGAUGCUCUGAAAGCCCCUCUCUGAAUGGAGGGCCUGUUGAGCAUGUACAGAGGAGCCGCGAGUUCAGCUGAGCCCCAGGGAAGCCUAGCAGCAGAGAAGUGGAGUGCCUGCUCUCCCCGGCCCGCCAGUCGUGUCCAGCAUCUUCUCCACCGCAGCCCCAGCUGCUCAGUGCACAAGCUGGAGGAAGGGUUGCCCGGCCAGG